CGAGGACGAACGCUGGCGGCGUGCUUAACACAUGCAAGUCGAAACGAGAAUCUGCGGAAAGAGGAUUCGUCCAAUUGAAGCAGAGGACAGUGGCGGACGGGUGAGUAACGCGUGAGGAACCUGCCUUUCAGAGGGGGGACAACAGUUGGAAACGACUGCUAAUACCGCAUGACACAUCGGAGUCGCAUGGCUCUGAUGUCAAAGAUUUAUCGCUGAAAGAUGGCCUCGCGUCUGAUUAGCUAGUUGGUGAGGUAACGGCCCACCAAGGCGACGAUCAGUAGCCGGACUGAGAGGUUGAACGGCCACAUUGGGACUGAGAUACGGCCCAGACUCCUACGGGAGGCAGCAGUGGGGAAUAUUGGGCAAUGGGCGCAAGCCUGACCCAGCAACGCCGCGUGAAGGAAGAAGGCUUUCGGGUUGUAAACUUCUUUUGUCAGGGACGAGUAGAAGACGGUACCUGACGAAUAAGCCACGGCUAACUACGUG
rnacentral:rRNA from 1 species